rnacentral:rRNA from 1 species
CCUACGGGAGGCAGCAGUGGGGAAUAUUGGACAAUGGGGGGAACCCUGAUCCAGCCAUGCCGCGUGUGUGAAGAAGGCCCUCGGGUUGUAAAGCACUUUCAGUGAGGAAGAACGCCUGGUGGUUAAUACCCAUCAGGAAAGACAUCACUCACAGAAGAGGCCCCGGCUAACUCCGUGCCAGCAGCCGCGGUAAUACGGAGGGUGCGAGCGUUAAUCGGAAUUACUGGGCGUAAAGCGCGCGUAGGUGGCUUGAUAAGCCGGUUGUGAAAGCCCCGGGCUCAACCUGGGAACGGCAUCCGGAACUGUCAAGCUAGAGUGCAGGAGAGGAAGGUAGAAUUCCCGGUGUAGCGGUGAAAUGCGUAGAGAUCGGGAGGAAUACCAGUGGCGAAGGCGGCCUUCUGGACUGACACUGACACUGAGGUGCGAAAGCGUGGGUAGCAAACAGGAUUAGAUACCCCGGUAGUC